rnacentral:rRNA from 1 species
AACCUCCGCAAUGUGAGAAAUCGCGACGGGGGGAUCCCAAGUGCCAUUCCUAACGGGAUGGCUUUUCAUUAGUGUAAAGAGCUUUUGGAAUAAGGGCUGGGCAAGACCGGUGCCAGCCGCCGCGGUAACACCGGCAGCUCUAGUGGUAGCAGUUUUUAUUGGGCCUAAAGCGUCCGUAGCCGGUUUAAUAAGUCUCUGGUGAAAUCCUGUAGCUUAACUGUGGGAAUUGCUGGAGAUACUAUUAGACUUGAGACCGGGAGAGGUUAGAGGUACUCUCAGGGUAGAGGUGGAAUUCUGUAAUCCUGGGAGGACCGCCUGUUGCGAAGGCGUCUAACUGGAACGGUUCUGACGGUGAGGGACGAAAGUUAGGGGCGCGAACCGGAUUAGAUACCCGGGUAGUCCUAACCGUAAACGAUGCGGACUGGUGUUGGGGUGGCUUUGAGCUGCUCCAGUGCCGAAGGGAAGCUGUUAAGUCCGCCGCCUGGGAAGUACGGUCGCAAGACUGAAACUUAAAGGAAUU